GGACCUGACUGCUAUCGGAUUGAUACUAAGCCAUGCGAGUCUUUGUAGUAAUACAAGGCAUACGGCUCAGUAACACGUAGUCAACCUACCCUAUGGAUGAGAAUAAUCUCGGGAAACUGAGCAUAAUACUCAAUAGAUCAUAAUGCCUGGAAUGGUUUAUGGUUAAAAUGAUUCGUCGCCAUAGGAUGGGACUGCGGCCUAUCAGCUUGUUGGUGAGGUAAUGGCCCACCAAGGCGAUUACAGGUACGGGCUCUGAGAGGAGAAGCCCGGAGAUGGGUACUGAGACAAGGACCCAGGCCCUAUGGGGCGCAGCAGGCGAGAAAACUUUGCAAUGUGCGAAAGCACGACAAGGUUAGUCCGAGUGAUUUCUGCUAAAGAGAUCUUUUGUCAGUUAUAAAACCACUAAUGAAUAAGGGGUGGGCAAGUUCUGGUGU
rnacentral:rRNA from 1 species